AGCAUCUUCUAUACAAAUAUGUUGCAGACCAUCUGUAUAGUUUUCAGUUCCAGAAGAUUCCAGUAACUCACUAAGUUUUAGUACUUUUUUUUUUUCUUCUUCUUAAUCUGAUGGGCUGCCCUGAGAUAAGUGAGAAAAGUGGGAAAAGCAAAAGCCUGUCAUAAUUUCUUCGGAGCUAAAACUGCACAGAAGUUGCUAAUUCCAGUAUUUGUUUUCUUACGAGAAACUUGAAGCAGGCAUUUUCCACUGUUAACAAUUUUUAGGUUCUGUCAAGUCAUCUUUUUUUUGGGUCAGAAAAACAUUUUGGUGAAAAUGAUUGCUAACAUAAUCUUAGAAAAUAUUUGAACAGACAAUUCUGAAGUUUUUCCAGAGACUUGGUGUUAUAGAGACCAGUAGAGAGCUGCAUGGUCAAGUCAUGUCCCUUCUGUCACCUUGCUGAAUGCCAUGUCACACUGCCAAUGCUUGGAAGCACUCACUGCUGGCUUCUGCAAGACUGGAAGGAAAGGAAGACCUGGACACAUUGACUACAUCUCAACUAUUAAACAAAAUUAGUCAGAUAAUUUUCCUGGAGGCCAACUGGCAUGAAAUAGCUUGAAUCCACCCAGCUAUCUUGCCCUCAAAUCACAGUGGCCACAUCCAAAGUAUCUAUUGGAGAUGGUGCCUGACCUGGGUCAAUACCCAAGCUAUGCUUUGGCGUUGUCUGGAAGAGCAUUAGCAGGCUUGCACCAAAGGCAUGCCAGGGACCAGUUUGGUGGUAUGGAUGGUUUCAGGCCCAUGCCUUGCUGGUCUUGUUUAGUUUAUUUAAUGUCAGAGGGAAACCUCAGUAAUUCUGCCAGGAGUCAAUAGAAAACCCCCUUCUGGCCUCAGCAACCAGGAGCUGCUGUGAAGCAUAAUCAUUAGUUGUUCAUCUCCUUCACAUUUGGAUUCUUUUUCUGAUUUUAUUUUUUACCAAAUGAGCCCUGAAAAUAUUUGAAAUCUCAUCGAGUAAUAAAAUUGGGUUGCUGUCUGCACAAAACUUGUUGGUUUUGAACUACCAAGAGAUUUUUCACACAAGCUGAGCUUCUGGAAAAGCCAGCUUCAGCUCUCCUCCCUGAUGAAGGGUCUCCUCUGGCUUUGAGCAAGUUGCUAAGAGCUUGUGUGACCAGUGCCCUGUUUGGAUAUAGGGGUAAAAAGCAAUGAGGUGCUGAGAUACAAACACACCAUUUGCUUGGGAUCACAUAAGCAUGCUCAACUGAUGCGAACAUAAAACUCCCUUUGAUUUCUGUGGCAGCUUAUUUCACGUGUCUGGGAAGGCAAUUUAUUUUAAACACUGUAAAAAGGACAUUGAGUAUGUUGUUAUAUCAGGAUCUUUUCAAAGUCAGAGCUCUGGGGCUGGGUUUGGAUAAGCCUGAAAUGUCCUUCAGACAGUGGGAGGUGGUGGAGAGCUCGUGCUCUGUUUCGAGUGCUAACUCUGUGCAACGGUACCCCAAUUAUCCCAUGGAACACUGUACUGUGUACACUUCUGUGUUAUACUUCUGCCUGCAGCAAUAUAAAUCAGAAUCAGGCAAUUCAUGCCUGAAUCUUUUUCCCUGUUCUGAAGAUAAAUGGCAGUGAAGGCCGAGUAGUUUUAAAGAGCUCAUCGUACAAAAUUAUUGUAUUAGGCCAUGCUGUAUUACUGAGAUUACAGAAAAUUACCUACGUGUAUUGAAUUAAACCAUGAUUUUCCAAUGAUCUCAGCAGCAGCAGCAGAAUUGGGACAAUUUAAUCACUGCAUUAUCAGUUUGGUAGAUAACUACUAUCCUGAAUUGCGGCUCAAAAUGAAAAAAUGGUAUUGUUUUAUCCAGAAACUAGCCCUUAUUUAACUUCCAGCGCUAGCCCUUACUUUGCUUAGACCUCAGGCAUAUAUUUGAAUUUCUGAAACUGACAGGUACUGAUUUCAACAACAUUUAGAGCAAUGCAUGUUUUGCCUCAGGUUUGCUACAAGGUGAGUGUGCUCUUAAUUAAUGUGGUCAUUUGAUGUGUAGUACCUUGCUGAACUAUUAGAACUUGACUGUGUGCUUUUACCCAGUGUUUCUUUUUUGGUUAAAAAGUCUGUUUCAUAAUUUACCUAUUCAUGGAUCAGUCUCAUAAAGGAGAUUGUUGUGUUGUCAUACCUUGCCAAGGCUGUACAAAUCUUAUUUAAUGAAAAUGUUAUGAAGCAAAGAAUCAAGUUGUUGUCCAGAAUAUUCAGAAUACUCAAUACUCAGAAAUUGGUAUGUUUUUCUCUGAGCCAGAUUUUGAACAGCAGGAAGCAUGGUAAAGCAGAGGAGGAACAUUUAACCUUAUCUAAUUUUGCCUGCCUUUUCCUUCCCUUUUCUGUCUUGCCCCUCAGUCUUAAAGCACUCUCACAUGGAUGCUUGCAUAUGGCAGUGGCUCUACUCAGACCUACUGAGACCAGUGCAUCAGUUAAGGUGUUUUUAUGGAACAUGAUUACGUGCAGAAGGAGCAAGGUGAGCUUCCACUCAGUUCAGCAUUAAAUUGAGAAUGGAUCUUUGCAAACUCUUCUCUGCCUGUGGUAAGAAGCCUUGAACUCCUUUAAGGAAACAACAACUGAAAUCCAUUUUUCCAAAUUCAAGCCCGAUGCUGUUCCCAUUCAUACUGGUUGGAUCAGUUUGCCUAUGUAUUCCAACAUCAAGUUUUUAUCUUUCUCUGCAGAAAAUAAAAUCCUGAACUGUACCUUCUACCCAAAAUCAGGAAGACAAUUUUGGAUAGGUAGAGUAUCCAAAGUUCAGUUUUCUGAAAUUAUGCCCACAAGCAAGAGCCAGAGUUUGGCUCUCUCAAUUUGUUCACUUCCUAUGAGGAUGGCAGUAUUAUGACAUUUAAUAUGAACGCAAUAUUCCAAAGAAAAACAAAAUAAUAUAUUUUGCACAUUUUCUGGUACCAAGGGAUUACCAUUUUCUGCUGCUGUUAUUUAGAAAUAUUGACAUACAUAUAUGUAGCCUUUCUAAUUUUCUCAAAAGAAAUGGGAACAAUCUUAUAUCUGAGAAACCUAGCUAAACAUUUACUAUUGUGGUUCAUCUCAGUUUUACCUUUUUGUAUAUUAAACAUGGAAUAAUUUCUCUCUGACAGACAAGUACUAUGCAUAUGCACAGCCCAACACAUCUACCUUGCUCCCUGUCACUGCAGGAGGAUGGGGAUAAUUCUUCUGUUUUCACUAGAUCAGGUAGGACAUUGGUAGCAGCAGACAUUUUACUACCACUGCUGCAGUUUUUGGGUUCCCAAUGGCUGAAAUGUGCUGGACACAUCCUUGACAGCUUUAACCCAUUGAAAAAAAAUUGAACAUCUCUAAAAGUUUCAUUUCAAAAUUUAGCCAGCAUCAAAUCUGGCAUAAUCUGUUUUCAGAAGAGAACAUGUGAGUUCUUAGAAGAAAAUACUCCUGAACACUCAGCAGUUGUUGAAGUUUACUCCUGACCACAUCUCUGGGAAGCACACUGAAACACCCCCCAGGAACAAGGGAUGCAUAAAGCCUACAAGCUCGUUACCAGGUGGAAAAGUCAUUCUGUAACAACUAAGAGAUGAAAUGAAAGAAAAGAGACCCAGUUCAACACACAUGAACUUUCUAAAUCAAGGUAACUGAAAGGUCAAGAGAAUAAUCUGAGUGAUCAGCAAGGUGGUGAGGCACACACCAAAAGUCAACUUCAGGUGUGCUUCCAAUCAGCUGCUUGUUUUGAGAGAACAUAAUUUCAACCUAAUUUUUUGCACCUUCAGACUGGUUAUCUGGAUUAGCCUGAUACUUAACAUGUGCCCUGAGAAUUUGCUCUCUUUUUUCUGAGGCUGUUGAUGCCUGUGCUUGGGGUCCCGCAGGCUUUACUUAUACAUUACAACAUUGUAUUUCCCUUUUCCUUGGCUUUGCUUGCAGAAAUCUAUCAACAAGCCUGUAAAUUUUUUGUUUCUUUUUCAUUGUCUACCAUUUUUUCUUUUGUAAAAUGAUGCCGCUCAUGUCUUGAAGGUCAUUAAAUAUCCUUUAUGUAAACCUGCAAAUGCUCAUCAAGAUGUUUAAUAUCUUUCUC